rnacentral:tRNA from 1 species
AGUACGAUAGUUUAUUUUGUAAAGCAACUGAAACGCACCGUCCCAGAGGUUGCAGGUUCAAAUCCUGCCCGUGUUA